GACGAACCGAGCGAACGUUGUUCGGAAUCACUGGGCUUAAAGGGCGCGUAGGCGGGUGCUCAAGUCCGGGGUGAAAUCCUCCAGCUCAACUGGAGAACUGCCUCGGAUACUGGGUGUCUCGAGGGUGGUAGGGGUAUGCGGAACUAUCGGUGGAGCGGUGAAAUGCGUUGAUAUCGAUAGGAACUCCGGUGGCGAAGGCGGCCUUCUGGACAGUGACUGACGCUGAGACGCGAAAGCGUGGGGAGCAAACAGG
rnacentral:rRNA from 1 species